rnacentral:rRNA from 1 species
GAUGAACGCUGGCGGCGUGCCUAAUACAUGCAAGUCGAGCGAACAGACGAGGAUCUUGCUCCUCUGACGUUAGCGGCGGACGUGUGAGUAACACGUGGAUAACCUACCUAUAAGACUGGGAUAACUUCGGGAAACCGGAGCUAAUACCGGAUAAUAUAUUGAACCGCAUGGUUCAAUAGUGAAAGACGGUUUUGCUGUCACUUAUAGAUGGAUCCGCGCCGCAUUAGCUAGUUGGUAAGGUAACGGCUUACCAAGGCGACGAUGCGUAGCCGACCUGAGAGGGUGAUCGGCCACACUGGAACUGAGACACGGUCAAGACUCCUACGGGAGGCAGCAGUAGGGAAUCUUCCGCAAUGGGCGAAAGCCUGACGGAGCAACGCCGCGUGAGUGAUGAAGGUCUUCGGAUCGUAAAACUCUGUUAUUAGGGAAGAACAAAUGUGUAAGUAACUAUGCACGUCUUGACGGUACCUAAUCAGAAAGCAACGGCUAACUACGUG